AUUGAACGCUGGCGGCAGGCCUAACACAUGCAAGUCGAGCGGAUGAGGGAAGCUUGCUUCCCGAUUUAGCGGCGGACGGGUGAGUAAUGCCUAGGAAUCUGCCUAUUAGUGGGGGAUAACGUUCCGAAAGGAACGCUAAUACCGCAUACGUCCUACGGGAGAAAGUGGGGGAGCUUCGGACCUCACGCUAAUAGAUGAGCCUAGGUCGGAUUAGCUAGUUGGUGGGGUAACGGCUAACCAAGGCGACGAUCCGUAGCUGGUCUGAGAGGAUGAUCAGCCACACUGGAACUGAGACACGGUCCAGACUCCUACGGGAGGCAGCAGUGGGGAAUAUUGGACAAUGGGCGAAAGCCUGAUCCAGCCAUGCCGCGUGUGUGAAGAAGGUCUUCGGAUUGUAAAGCACUUUAAGUUGGGAGGAAGGGUUGUAAGCUAAUAUCUUGCAGCUUUGACGUUACCAACAGAAUAAGCACCGGCUAACUCUGUGCCAGCAGCCGCGGUAACAC
rnacentral:rRNA from 1 species